rnacentral:rRNA from 1 species
GGGCCCGCACAAGCGGUGGAGUAUGUGGUUUAAUUCGAUGAUACGCGAGGAACCUUACCAGGGCUUAAAUGUAGAGCGACAGAGGUGGAAACACCUCCUUCUUCGGACGGUCUACAAGGUGCUGCAUGGUUGUCGUCAGCUCGUGCUGUGAAGUGUCGGGUUAAGUCCCAUAACGAGCGCAACCCCUAUUUCUGAUUGCCAGCGGUUCGGCCGGGGACUCUAGAGAAACUGCCAGCGUAAGCUGUGAGGAAGGUGGGGAUGACGUCAAAUCAUCACGGCCCUUACGUCCUGGGGCCACACACGUGCUACAAUGGAUGGUACAAUGGGCGCCACUACGCGAGUAGGAG